UGUUGGGGAAUUGUGCUGCUGCUAGAACCAGGACUCUAAAGUAACAUUUUUCAUCACUGGCCAAAAUGAUGAGUAGAUGUGGAGCUUACUAGCCAAACUCACCCUCACAAUCUCAGGGUGGCUGCUAGCAGAUUUUUAUUGUCUGUUGGUCAAACUGAGUUUUGGCCAGUUGGCGGGUGCUAAUUUGGAGCUGCAUGAAUCUCUGGCCUUGAUGACAAAACUUGCCCUCACUGAGCGUUUUCUAAAACCCGAUAAUGAUCCGUUAUUACCCUGAGCCAGAUGAAGAAUAUUCCAUAUAGAAUGUUGGCCAUGCAUUCUAGAAUACUAAUGAAGGCUUCCAUCUUCUACAGGCUGGAGAGCUGACUGGUCUCGGACGUGGACUACAGCUGCAGCCAAACAGCUUUGGCGUCUGCCCUCCCAGCGGUGAUGAAUGGGACCUAACAGCAAGAUGUACAGGAUCCCGAUUAAGGGGCGGAGUUCUGAUGGGCUGUGCUGUUCCGGAACUCUGUCUGGAUGUGACUCGCUGGUCCGGAACUCCACCUGGAUGUGGGCCUGUGCUGGUCCGGAACUCCUGUGCCGGAUGUGACCCGGAUGUGGGCCUGUGCUGGUCCAGAACUCGUGACCCAGAUGUGGUCCUAUGCUGGUCCGGAACUCCUGGGCCGGAUGUGGGCCUGUGCUGGUCCGGAACUCGUGACCCGGAUGUGGGCCUGUGCAGGUCCUCAUGAAGGCGGGGGCCCUCGGCUGCUGCCUGAAGUUUCUACCCAGGGCCCUGUGAGGCGACCGCAGGGAUUCCGCAGUGCAUGACUUUUGACUGCAGGGGGCGCUGAUGUCACGUUGCAGUUGGACUUCAGUGGCUUUCUUUCUUUGGGGCCGUUAUUUGAGCUCCAUGACUCUCUAGCGGCCGUCCUUCAGUAUAUGUACCUGCAACACUGGACUCUUUAAUAAACACCUUUCAGUGACUACA